rnacentral:rRNA from 1 species
UGGGGAAUAUUGCACAAUGGGCGCAAGCCUGAAGCAGCGACGCCGCGUGGGCGAUGAAGGUCUUCGGAUCGUAAAGCCCUUUUCUGCGUGACGAGAGAGGACGGUAGCGCAGGAAGACGUCUCGGCUAACUACGUGCCAGCAGCCGCGGUAAAACGUAGGAGACGAGCGUUAUCCGGAAUUACUGGGCGUAAAGCGCGAGUAGGCGGCUAUUUAAGUGGUCUGUGAAAGCGUCCGGCUCAACUGGACGAGGCCGGAUCAGACUGGAUGGCUAGAGGGUCAGAGAGGCAGGCGGAAUUCCGGGUGUAGUGGUGAAAUGCGUAGAGAUCCGGAGGAACACCAGUGGCGAAGGCGGCCUGCUGGCUGACAACUGACGCUGAGGCGCGAAAGCAUGGGGAGCGAA